UAUGUUAGGGUUGUAUAUUACAACGUUUGUAUUUUCAUGCCAUUUUUCCUGUUUUAUUUUGAAAGAGUCUGUUGUGUUCAGUUCAUUAAUCUCACUGACCUGUUGUGUCAAUAGAAUCAUUUGUGCCAGCUACUUCCCUGCUCUCCUUCCAUCCUGUCUCAACCUCCAACAGGAAAGUAGAAGUCCUCAUAUGACACCAAGUGCUGAGGUCCUGUCUCAGCCUCAUACUUACCCACUUCAUUCUUCCAACAGACACCAAGUGCUGAGGUCCUGUCUCAGCCUCAUACUUACCCACUUCAUUCUUCCAACAG
ensembl:lncRNA